GAUGAACGCUGGCGGUAUGCUUAACACAUGCAAGUCGAACGGACUCUUCGGAGUUAGUGGCGGACGGGUGAGUAACGCGUGAGAAUCUGGCUUUGGGUUCGGGACAACCACUGGAAACGGUGGCUAAUACCGGAUGUGCCGAGAGGUAAAAGAGAAAUUGCCUGAAGAUGAGCUCGCGUCUGAUUAGCUAGUUGGUGAGGUAAAGGCUCACCAAGGCAGCGAUCAGUAGCUGGUCUGAGAGGAUGACCAGCCACACUGGGACUGAGACACGGCCCAGACUCCUACGGGAGGCAGCAGUGGGGAAUUGUCCGCAAUGGGCGAAAGCCUGACGGAGCAGUACCGCGUGAGGGAAGAAGGCUCUUGGGUUGUAAACCUCUUUUCUUAGGGAAGAACAAAAUGACGGUACCUAAGGAAUCAGCAUCGGCUAACUCCGUG
rnacentral:rRNA from 1 species